rnacentral:rRNA from 1 species
GUGCAGCAGUCGCGAAAACUUGUCAAUGCACGAAAGUGUGAACGGGCUACCCCGAGUGCCGUCCGCUGAGGAUGGCUUUUCUCUGCUGUAAGAAGGCAGAGGAAUAAGGAGAGGGCAAGUCUGGUGUCAGCCGCCGCGGUAAUACCAGCUCUCCGAGUGGUAGGGAUGAUUAUUGGGCUUAAAGCGUCCGUAGCUGGCCUUUCAAGUCUCUUGUUAAAUCCAGCGAUUCAAUCGUUGGACUGCGGGAGAUACUGUUAGGCUAGGGGGCGGGAGAAGCCGACGGUAUUUCCGGGGUAGGGGUAAAAUCCUAUAAUCCCGGGAAGACCACCAGUGGCGUAGGCGGUCGGCUAGCACGCGCUCGACAGUGAGGGACGAAAGCUGGGGUAGCGAACCGGAUUAGAUACCCGGGUAGUCC